rnacentral:lncRNA from 1 species
AGGUUCGUAUUGCUGCUGUGGAGGCCCUCUGCAUGUUGGCCCAGUCUUCACCCUCUUUUGCUGAGAAGUGCCUUGAUUUCCUAGUUGACAUGUUCAACGAUGAAAUUGAGGAAGUACGUCUGCAGUCCAUACAUACCAUGAGAAAAAUCUCUAACAACAUCACCCUCCGAGAAGAUCAGCUUGACACUGUCCUGGCUGUGCUAGAGGAUUCAUCCAGAGAUAUUCGAGAGGCUCUUCAUGAACUCUUAUGCUGUACUAAUGUUUCAACCAAAGAAGGGAUUCAUCUUGCAUUGGUGGAGCUGCUGAAAAAUUUAACCAAGUACCCUACUGAUAGGGACUCCAUAUGGAAGUGCUUGAAGUUUCUGGGAAGUCGGCAUCCAACCCUGGUGCUUCCCUUGGUGCCAGAGCUUCUGAGCACCCACCCAUUUUUUGACACAGCUGAACCAGACAUGGAUGAUCCAGCUUAUAUUGCAGUUUUGGUACUUAUUUUCAAUGCUGCUAAAACCUGUCCAACAAUGCCAGCAUUGUUCUCAGAUCACACCUUCAGGCACUAUGCCUACCUCCGAGACAGUCUUUCUCAUCUUGUUCCUGCCUUGAGGUUACCAGGUAGAAAACUGGUGUCAUCAGCUGUUUCUCCCAGCAUCAUACCUCAAGAGGAUCCUUCCCAGCAGUUCCUGCAGCAGAGCCUUGAAAGAGUGUAUAGUCUUCAGCACUUGGACCCUCAGGGAGCCCAGGAGCUGCUGGAAUUCACCAUCAGGGAUCUGCAAAGACUUGGAGAACUUCAAUCUGAAUUGGCAGGAGUAGCUGAUUUCUCUGCCACCUAUCUUCGCUGUCAACUACUUCUCAUCAAGGCCUUGCAGGAAAAGUUGUGGAAUGUAGCUGCCCCUUUGUAUUUGAAGCAGAGUGAUUUGGCCUCAGCAGCAGCGAAACAGAUUAUGGAAGAGACCUACAAAAUGGAAUUCAUGUACAGUGGUGUGGAGAAUAAGCAGGUGGUGAUUAUACAUCACAUGAGGCUGCAGGCCAAAGCUUUGCAACUUAUAGUAACAGCACGAACUACACGAGGACUUGACCCCUUAUUUGGGAUGUGUGAAAAAUUUUUACAGGAAGUAGACUUUUUUCAGAGGUAUUUCAUCGCUGAUUUGCCCCACUUGCAGGACAGCUUUGUGGACAAACUCCUUGACCUUAUGCCCCGACUCAUGACAUCCAAACCUGCAGAAGUGGUCAAAAUUCUACAGACCAUGCUGCGACAGAGUGCCUUUCUGCAUCUCCCGCUUCCAGAGCAGGUCAGGGUCUAUUUGGCCCCUGUAGGCCAAAUCUGUCCAGACGGUCAAAAAUCUUUACCUUGGUGAUCUUCUUUGACCAAUGGAGCA